GAGAGGCUGUGGACCAAGUGCGUCAGUACUGAGAGUGGUAGUGAGGGUCCCAGGCUGGUGCAGCAUGAAGAGUACCACAAGAAAUGCCCACCUGUGAGACCGCUGAGGCCGGGCAGCGCCUAUCCACCUCCCCACCCACUUUUUCUCAGAUCACAGGCCUGGGAUCUUGGUACAGUCCAAAUGGUGGGGAAAGAGCAUGGAGAAUAACAAAUACAGAACACUUCUUGUUGACUUCUUCAGUGCUUGUCACGGAUUGGAUUCCCUGGGAAGCAGAUGCUGUGUUGGAGAUGUGCACAUCACAAUGUUAUUGCAGGAGCAUGUUCUUGGGAAUACAAAUGUGGGGGAGUGAAGAGAAGAAAGCAGGAUGAAGCAGAAGGAAAAGAGGAGCUGCAAUCCAGUGCCCAAAGAGCUGUAGAACUGAGAUCACUCUGAAGAACUGUCCCAAACUGGAAGAAGAGGGGCAAGUAAUUAUAAUACCCUAUUGAUAAUCAUUGGAUGAGAGCUUCCCUGGGGAAGGAG
rnacentral:lncRNA from 1 species